rnacentral:rRNA from 1 species
UGUGUGUUAGUGGAAGCGUCUGGAAAGGCGCGCGAUACAGGGUGACAGCCCCGUACACAAAAACGCACAUGCUGUGAGCUCGAUGAGUAGGGCGGGACACGUGGUAUCCUGUCUGAAUAUGGGGGGACCAUCCUCCAAGGCUAAAUACUCCUGACUGACCGAUAGUGAACCAGUACCGUGAGGGAAAGGCGAAAAGAACCCCGGCGAGGGGAGUGAAAAAGAACCUGAAACCGUGUACGUACAAGCAGUGGGAGCACGCUUCGGCGUGUGACUGCGUACCUUUUGUAUAAUGGGUCAGCGACUUAUAUUCUGUAGCAAGGUUAACCGAAUAGGGGAGCCGAAGGGAAACCGAGUCUUAACUGGGCGUUAAGUUGCAGGGUAUAGACCCGAAACCCGGUGAUCUAGCCAUGGGCAGGUUGAAGGUUGGGUAACACUAACUGGAGGACCGAACCGACUAAUGUUGAAAAAUUAGCGGAUGACUUGUGGCUGGGGGUGAAAGGCCAAUCAAACCGGGAGAUAGCUGGUUCUCCCCGAAAGCUAUUUAGGUAGCGCCUCGUGAAUUCAUCUCCGGGGGUAGAGCACUGUUUCGGCAAGGGGGUCAUCCCGACUUACCAACCCGAUGCAAACUGCGAAUACCGGAGAAUGUUAUCACGGGAGACACACGGCGGGUGCUAACGUCCGUCGUGAAGAGGGAAACAACCCAGACCGCCAGCUAAGGUCCCAAAGUCAUGGUUAAGUGGGAAACGAUGUGGGAAGGCCCAGACAGCCAGGAUGUUGGCUUAGAAGCAGCCAUCAUUUAAAGAAAGCGUAAUAGCUCACUGGUCGAGUCGGCCUGCGCGGAAGAUGUAACGGGGCUAAACCAUGCACCGAAGCUGCGGCAGCGACACUAUGUGUUGUUGGGUAGGGGAGCGUUCUGUAAGCCUGUGAAGGUGUACUGUGAGGUAUGCUGGAGGUAUCAGAAGUGCGAAUGCUGACAUAAGUAACGAUAAAGCGGGUGAAAAGCCCGCUCGCCGGAAGACCAAGGGUUCCUGUCCAACGUUAAUCGGGGCAGGGUGAGUCGACCCCUAAGGCGAGGCCGAAAGGCGUAGUCGAUGGGAAACAGGUUAAUAUUCCUGUACUUGGUGUUACUGCGAAGGGGGGACGGAGAAGGCUAUGUUGGCCGGGCGACGGUUGUCCCGGUUUAAGCGUGUAGGCUGGUUUUCCAGGCAAAUCCGGAAAAUCAAGGCUGAGGCGUGAUGACGAGGCACUACGGUGCUGAAGCAACAAAUGCCCUGCUUCCAGGAAAAGCCUCUAAGCAUCAGGUAACAUCAAAUCGUACCCCAAACCGACACAGGUGGUCAGGUAGAGAAUACCAAGGCGCUUGAGAGAACUCGGGUGAAGGAACUAGGCAAAAUGGUGCCGUAACUUCGGGAGAAGGCACGCUGAUAUGUAGGUGAAGUCCCUCGCGGAUGGAGCUGAAAUCAGUCGAAGAUACCAGCUGGCUGCAACUGUUUAUUAAAAACACAGCACUGUGCAAACACGAAAGUGGACGUAUACGGUGUGACGCCUGCCCGGUGCCGGAAGGUUAAUUGAUGGGGUCAGCGCAAGCGAAGCUCUUGAUCGAAGCCCCGGUAAACGGCGGCCGUAACUAUAACGGUCCUAAGGUAGCGAAAUUCCUUGUCGGGUAAGUUCCGACCUGCACGAAUGGCGUAAUGAUGGCCAGGCUGUCUCCACCCGAGACUCAGUGAAAUUGAACUCGCUGUGAAGAUGCAGUGUACCCGCGGCAAGACGGAAAGACCCCGUGAACCUUUACUAUAGCUUGACACUGAACAUUGAGCCUUGAUG